CCUACGGGUGGCAGCAGUCGAGAAUCAUUCACAAUGGGGGAAACCCUGAUGGUGCGACGCCGCGUGGGGGAAUGAAGGUCUUCGGAUUGUAAACCCCUGUCAUGUGGGAGCAAAUUAAAAAGAUAGUACCACAAGAGGAAGAGACGGCUAACUCUGUGCCAGCAGCCGCGGUAAUACAGAGGUCUCAAGCGUUGUUCGGAAUCACUGGGCGUAAAGUGUGCGUAGGCUGUUUCGUAAGUCGUGUGUGAAAGGCGCGGGCUCAACCCGCGGACGGCACAUGAUACUGCGAGACUAGAGUAAUGGAGGGGGAACCGGAAUUCUCGGUGUAGCAGUGAAAUGCGUAGAUAUCGGGAGGAACACUCGUGGCGAAGGCGGGUUCCUGGACAUUAACUGACGCUGAGGCACGAAGGCCAGGGGAGCGAAAGGGAUUAGAUACCCCGGUAGUC
rnacentral:rRNA from 1 species